rnacentral:rRNA from 1 species
UUGGAGGCAAGUCUGGUGCCAGCAGCCGCGGUAAUUCCAGCUCCAAUAGCGUAUAUUAAAGUUGUUGCAGUUAAAAAGCUCGUAGUUGAACCUUGGGCCUGGCUGGCCGGUCCGCCUCACCGCGUGCACUGGUUCGGCCGGGCCUUUCCCUCUGGGGAUCCCCAUGCCCUUCACUGGGUGUGGCGGGGAACCAGGACUUUUACUGUGAAAAAAUUAGAGUGUUAAAGCAGGC